UUUUUACUUGUAAGAUGAGACUUUCGAAACAAAACAAACUCUGCCAACUAAUUCACACAAUUGGCCAAAUGACUUUAAUUUCCUGCAGACAAGUCUUUUUUUAUAGGUAAUGAGUUGAUCCUGCAGACAAGUCUGCUCUUCCGAUGGCAAUCACAGUACAUGAAGAUUAGUCACUCCUACUCGCGAUAUUUUUCCCCCUAUAAAAGAGUCUGUGGAAAUAGAAACUAGGGCCUAAAGAAACAAAAAUGUAACAUUAGUUGCAAGAAGCCUUUAACAUAGGAGUCCAGCAGCCAUUCACCUAAAAAAAAUGACAAUUAUUUCUACAUAGAAUUUCAGAGGAAUGUAGAAGCCUCCAACAAAUCAAGAAUAUCUACAUCUACAGCCAUGGUCUCUACAAUAUCCUUAAAAGCUUCUUCCUGACUGACUGACUUCCUUUGCCAUGGGCAAAUUAGCUAUAGAUCUACGCCAAGCUAUCACUUCUGAGGCCUUGGCCAAGUUAUGCAGUUCUGGAUCGCGACCUUGAAUGUGCAUACAGCAAACAGCUCCUUGGCCAAAAACAACGUCACAACCACAUCAUUGACCUGAUAUCCACAUCCUUAGUAGGUACAAAGGACUCUUUAUACAUUUUUGUCAUCUCAUUCCAGGUAGAGUUUCAGUGUGAGGAUCCUCAGAUGGCAUCAUGUUUAAAUCAGGUAGCAGGAAGGAUCUGUCAUGGUUUGAAACUGCCUCUUGUGUUUCACAGGAAUCCAACUUGAUAUCAUCAUCACAUUGAACAUGUUUAGGCAACAUUGAACUAAUGUGGUUGGGAGAAGAGGGUUCUCCCUUGUAGGGCCGGUUGCAAAUUUCUUUCUCCAGUACAUCAGACGCUAAACUUGAGUUAUUUGCAUAUUGCAAUUUCAAAUCAAACUUUAUUCUCUUUAAAUUCUCAUUUCUUGCUACCUGUUCCUCAAAUGUGGAAUUUAAAGUUGUUAUUUCCUUUUUGAGAUGCAUCCUUUCUUUCAACAGAAAACUCUCUUCUUCUUUAAGUUCAGCAAACGUCUUCUUUCUUCUUGACCUCUUUGUGGAGGUGCUAGCGGUUUCAGCAGUAGCAGUACCCUUGGAUCUGGCGCCAGGAGGAGAGCGGGUGACAUGAGGGCUGGUCUCUUCGAAGCCGUCAACGGUGGCUGAGGGGGAGGCAGCGCCGCCACCACCGCUCCAUGAAAGCGGCGUGGUUGGACUACAUCUAGCAGAAGAAUCUCCUUCUUUCCUCUUACAAACGACGUCACAUCGCACGGAUGCCGCUGUAGCUGGCUUGGACCUCGGAAGUCGUAACCCCCACCUAAUUGGAAUCACCGCCUGAGGUCUCGCUGGUGCCGCUGCAUGCGCUUGCUUGAGACGCAACAGCAGCUCCACAACCACUCUAUCAUCCGUCAUCGCGGCCCUUAUCCACUCGUCCUUCACCAUCGUGACCAAGCUAUCGUUGCCGAAAGAGACGCCACAGAUAUCUGUGUGCAGACACAGUGACUCUGUAGAUAUAUGAGAGAGAGAGAGAGAGA
rnacentral:misc_RNA from 1 species